GUCGUGAGUGCAGGCUGUAUCGGCAGAGAAUACUUUCGAAUUUAUCUUAAACCAUGACAGAAGGAAAAGUUUAAACUUCCACAUGAGAACUAUUAACUGAUAAUGGACAUGCAUCCAGAGAUACCCUCCAAUGAUGGCCGCACAAGUAAUGUAGUUGCAGAGAGAUACCUGGUUGAAUCCAAGAAGUCUACAGCUCAUGCUCCACUUGCUUGUGGCUCCCAGCACUGUGCUUUUCCUUUAGAUGGGAACUAUCUCUGUGUGUGGAGCCCCAGGGGCACUUCUCACCAGCUUCUCACCUUAGAAGGACACCAUCAGCUGAUUACUGCUGUGGCUUUUGGAAAUCAAGUAGAUCCACUUCAGCUCUGCUCUGCGUCACAGGAUUGUAUUAUAAUGUGGAAUGUGGACGACUGUAGAGAGAAGACACUUAAAGGGCUGACUCCUCGAGGGACUAUCCUAGGCUCCCUUUUACAAACAGUGCACUGUUUGAGAUUUAGUCUGGAUGAUCGUGCUGUUGCCGUGUGUGCUGGAAACAAAAUAUCUGUGAUGGAUGUGGAGGUAAGAACGACACCCUGUGGCGGUCCCAAGCACACAGUGGGUGGUACUUUCCAGGCUGGGUUCCUGUUGAAGCAGUCUGUGCUGGUGGAGCUGCAGGGCCAUCAAGGCUCAGUGACAGCGGUAGAAUUCUGUCCCUGGCAGGCAAACAUCCUCAUCUCCGUGUCUGAAGACAGAAGCUUUAAGGUCUGGGACUAUUGUGUGGGAUCCUUGAUAUACAGCUCAUCCAUUUUAACAGGUUACCCUCUCCUGAGUUUGCUUAUCGAUGAAGAAAACCGACAGCUGGUCACUGGCAGUGCUGAUGGCCAGCUGUGGAUCUUUAGUUUGAUGGAGAGACAUCACUACCACUGUGUGGCGCAUGUGGACCUAAGGAAGAAAAGUGAGACUUUCUCCACCCGAAGAAUGAUGGCUGGGCAGUACAGUCGGCCAGAAGACAGACAGUGCCACUCCAGACCUGAGGUGGAUAAAAGGGAAGAGGCUGAAGCAACAUUCCCUGUCCUGAGCCUGGCGCACUGCGACCUCUGCCUGCAGGAUUCCCAGUGUGGAGUAUUUUCUUCUGAGUGCACCAAAUGCCUGUGGAUUGGAAGCCCAACGGCUUUAUUCAUAUUUAACCUGGCAAGUGUUGAAUUGGAAGCUGCUUUACAUUUCAAGGAAUUUCAGAGCCUGAGUGUCCAAAUUGCUGGGUCCUGUGCUGUGAUGAGUGAGGCCAUGAGCCCUAAGGCAUUUUGCAUACUUUCAUCUAUGUUUGGAAAUAAGAUUGCCAUGUUGGAAAUCAGCCUGGCUGCUCUGCUGAGCUUUCAGAAGUGCCCUGGUGCUGGAAAGAUGCUUUCUGUGCUGGCAAGCUCCUGUGUCCUGCCAACUUCUCCACUGUAUUUUGGAAUUAUUAAGGAAAACUUUACUAAGCCUGCUAAUACCAAAAAACAUGCUGUGAGGAUUGCGGUAGAGGACCGGCCCUUGGUCUUCCACACUAAAAUCAGGUCAUCUGGCUAUACAUCGGCACCACAUGUAACUAUGUUUUCACCAAAGACUAACAUCAAGCAUAAUAGCAAAAGAACUUCAAAAUUCAAGAACAAUUACAAAUGUAAGGAGUACUCUCUGGAGAAUUUCCUACCCAGAAGUCUCAGCAGGCAGGUUGCCGUGGCCCAGGAGCCUGUUGCUGUGCGCUGUCUGCAGUACUCAGGGGAUGGACAGCAGUUGGCCUGUGGCUUAGCUAACCACCUUUCCCUGGUCUUUGAUGCUAGCCUUUCUGGAACACCUGCUGCUUUUUCAGGUCAUGAUGGAGCUGUGAACACUGUCUGCUGGAGCCAUGACAAGAAAUGGCUGCUGUCUACGGGCCGGGACCAGACACUGAGGGUGUGGUCAGUUCACAGGACAGAACUCAUGCUGCUUUUGGGUCCAGAGUCCUUUCCCAAGCCAAUAACAUCUGCACAGUUCUACUACAUGGAUACUUUCAUACUGUUGUCUUCUGGCUCUGAAUUUUGGCUGCUAAAGUACCACAUUGACCUCUGUAGGGAUGACAUACGAAGGUAUAAGCCAAAAAGCAGGUAUAAGCCUAUUUUUAGGCUCCCGUUGACCGGUGGGGUAGAAGUGACCACCCUGUCUGCAGUGAAUGACUUUUAUUCUCACAUCGUACUCACCGCUGGCCGGGACCGGACUGUGGAAGUUUUUGACCUCAAUGUUGGCCACAGUGCUGCGGUGAUAGCUGAAGUCCAUUCACGGCCUGCCCAUCAGAUUUGUCAAAAUAAAGGAUCAUCAUUUACGACCCAACAGUCUCUGGCGUACAAUCUUUUCCUGACCACAGCUGUUGGUGAUGGGGUUCGACUGUGGGACCUGAGGACUCUGAGGUGCGUGCGCCGCUUCGAAGGGCAUCCCAGCCGCUGUUACCCUUGCGGAGUUGCCUUUAGUCCUUGUGGAAGACUCAUGGGCUGUGGUGCAGAGGACAGACAUGCGUACGUGUAUGAAAUGGGCUCAAGCAGCUUCCUGUAUCGUCUUGCAGGGCAUACAGAUACGGUUACUGAAGUGGCUUUCAACUCAGCAGCUCCUCAGCUUACCACUGCCACCUUGGAUGGGAAACUUCAGCUGUUUGUGGUUGAGUGAUGGCUGACCUGCUGAGGAUCCUGGGGUUGAAGAAGAGAUAGACUAUGCAAGGGAGCCCAGGUUCUCUUCAUCCUCAUUGUUGUCCUCUGUUCCCAUCUGUUGUGGUGGGACGGUUCAGAUCCUGAGCCUCCUUGUCAGCCGUGGAAUGCUGCCUCUGUAAAUGGGGAUUUGAGGCCCGGGACCCAUGGGACACUGGGACUACAUCCUUUUUAAUGUAAAGGUUUCAGAUCAGGGAGGCAUGGGACAUUUGGAUUGUGUACACUGGCAUCUGCAUAUCCCAGGGAGAUCCAAGGCUGUACAAGGAUCAGCAGAUCCCCAAACUUACAGAACUAAUUAGGAGCAGAUUCUGGGACUGAAACCCAGCUUGUCUGAUGUCCAGUCCCAACGAUCCAUGGCUUUGACUUCAGAGGACGAAUGACUGAAAGAAUGGUAUUUGAGAACGUUCUGUUCGGACACAGUUGGAAAAAUCAUCUCUCCAGUGUGCCAAAGUCAUUUCCAGAUGUACUGAGAGUUGUAUGCAAAGUUGUACUUGGAAGAAAACUUGCAGCACCUGGGUUCAAGAAGAAUGAUAAGCUCGAAGACACUUCGCCUCCCACCAGGAUGACCAGGGCAGGUGAGGCGAAGCAACAGGGCAUAACUGGAGACCAGCUCAAGCUGCACUCAUUCCCCUGGUCUGUCAGCAGCACCAACCAUCGAUUGACUUGGGAGCUAGGUAGAAGGAAUUGGGGACCGUCCUCGGGCUAUCUGACUCCUCCCUCUAUCCCUUGCUUCCUGUCAGAAACUGUGUCCUUUAGCAGCAGCCUGUUCGGUGUGAGUGGUCUCAGCUUUGCUUGGUCCGGAUAAUUUUCAGCUGCUAAUCUUUGCAUGUGAAGGAUAUGGGAUGCGGCCUGUUGUUCUGCCCUGAUAGCUGUGUCCAGUAGGAUUAAUGCACCCAGCCUAUGGAGGAGGGACUGAACAGACAGCUUGCUCCCCACAAAUGGACUGAGCCCCACCUUCCAGUCAAUUCCAGACCCCCCAAGGACUGCAUCUUCUAACAUCAGGGAUGGGACCUUGGAUUUAAGUAUGACUGGAUAAUCAGGGUGCAAUGAGCAGCCAAGAGGAGCCUUCCAGUGGAAAACAAAACCCCAUAGCAAAGGAAACAGAAUAGAAAGUCCAAAGAUAUGUUGGUAGAAGAACCACUGCUAUAUCCCUGGAUAUUUAAGAAGAUCUUGCAUUCAUGAACCAAGAACAGGGCACCAGAGAAAAGAAGUAGUCACAGGAAAGAACUCCUCUGAAAAUACCUGGAGGCCCUCAAAGAGAGGCACUGGGGUCCUGGUGUUCACAGCCUGAUUGUGCCACAUGAUGUGUGUAUGCUGUAGGCACACACACGAGAGUUAUAGACAUGUGCACAUACUUGUUUCCUUCCUCGCCUCUUCCCUUUCCCCCUUUCCUUAUUUCCCAUGCAGCUGACGGAUGGUGAGCAGGUGGGGGAACCAAUGGUUUUGGAGCCCUAGAACACACAGGCAGGAAGGAACUGGGGCUAUGUCAGUCACUUCUAAGCCCUUCUUGCUCAUGGUCAAGGAUAUGAAGCUCUGGGCUUCAUCAGACCACUGUGAGCUGAGAGGACAGAGCCUGGAGUUCAUUAUCUAUGGACACUGAAAGGAGCCGCAGAAGCUGCAGGUGAGCGGGAGACAAUGGACAAGAUGUCAGUGCAGAGGACGCUGUGAAGAUAACAGGAGGGUGACUGAGGGGGACAGAGUGAGGUGCUGCGGUGGGUGCCUGGGCUCCACGGUCAAGCUUGUUUUCAUUGUCAUUUGGUGGAAGCAUGGGGUGGGGAGGCAUUUUCCACAGGCAGCAAGAGAGACUAUUUUGAAAGGAGAGAACACCAGCUUCAUCAUAAGUGACUUAGUGGGUGGGUGUCAUAGUCAAGGGUCAGGUGAAUCAAGGAGAAACAGUCACAGAUGCCUUGGGUUCACGACGUCACCAACAUCCAGACAGUAAUGCUGGAACACGUGCUUUGAAAUGAGCUAACAACAUUGUGGGAAGGGCCUCGAAUCAAAACCAGGUCCGGUCAGUGGAAAAAAGGACGAGAAUAAAAAUGCUAAUCCUUAGAAGUGGUGAUGUCAUGUAGAGAUGGCACGGAUGUAAGAGGAGCAUCUCACACUGCUGUGAUCCCAGCAUACUGUGAAAAUAACCUACGUGGGGCUGAUGAAGCCAGCCAAGACUGGAUAGGCCAAGUUUUCCAUAUUUAACAAGAUAUUUUAAUGUCAUCACCACAAUGCCACAAUUCCUUUUCCAAACUUUUUCUUGAUAAAAGCUAUUAGUGAGAAAGAUUUAAAACAAGAAAGCAGUUCCGACUUUAAGGGCUCUCUUAAUUCCCCAAAAGCUGAUCCUGAAAUACUCAUUUGUUUAUCUCUAGCUUUUUUAAUACUGGAGUAUCUGACUGCUUGGGACAAUUCAACAUUUGAUUUAAAUAGAGAGCAGUCAGCUAUUCUGUUUGUCCUGGAAUGUGGGCUGUGAUUAGAGCAAAAUCUUUCCAGUAAAAUUAACUGUCUGUUCAGAUUUUCAUCACCAGCAAUCCUUUUGCAAAAAAACAAUAACAGUCGAGUGUGUUCUAGGAGACUUGGAAAGAAAAGAAGAAGAAAGUUCAGAGGCAAAGCUUGGUCUAAGUUCUGACGCUGAGGCUGCAAUUGCUCCUCACAGCAGGAAUGUUCUGGGCCUGGCCUGACCAUGCUCUUGGCACCAGGCACCAUUGUUUAUGCCAGCCUGAAGAGACUCUUGAAUCCGUGUCCUUUGAUUGAGCAUUUUUAUGAUGUCUGCAUAAAUCACUUCCCUGAAGAUGGCAUCCCUGGCAUGGAGCUGGCUUGCCUUUUUAUAGGCAUUUGCUGUGAGCGAAGACUUCUCUCUCUUUAGAUGAACCUUCCUCUCUGAUUUCCUUUGCCCUGUACCCUAGGAAAGUUCUCUGUGAUCUCUCAGAUGCCACCCUUUAACCCAAUUUGUGGCUGUUUAUUAGACCAACUUUAUCUUCUGUUAUUCACCAAUUGCAAGAGUAAGAAACUGGGUAAUCCCAUGGAAAGGUCAUUACUAAAUUGAUCUAGUUCUUCUAGUUCUCUCUCACAUCUUUGUCAGGUUGAAUUUAACCAUGUCUUUCUAGAACAGUGAUUCUCAACCUUCCUAAUGUCGCGAUCCUUUAAUACAGUUCCUCAUGUUGUGUUGACCCCCAACUAUAAAAUUAUUUCAUUGAUUCCUUAUAACUGUAAUUUUGCUACUGUUAUGAAUCAUAAUGUAAAUAUCUGUGUUUUCUGAAGGUCUUGGACAACCCCUGUGAAAGGGUCAUUUGACCUCCAAAGGGGUCAUGACCCACAGGUUGAGAAACACUGCUCUAGAAAUUUGUCUUAUAAAUGUCUUGAUGAUUUUUGGGGACCAACAAUAUCUCAAGACAUCAAAAUUAUCCCAAAUAGUGAUUGUGGUUAAAUUAGUCUUCAGCAAAAUUUAGAAUAUGUAUUUCUCAGAGGAUAACCUUAUGAAAGUAAGACGUUUUCAUUCACCUCCACAAUACAGAAAGAACACCCACAAGUCAGCCAGAGAAAGAUAGCCAGCCACAGUCAAAGCUAAGCAGCAAACUCCAGGAAGACUUAGCAAAGCAAGUACCCCAGAGGCCAGGGGGCAUUUGAGGAAGGGGCCAAGACUUUUAGUGACUAAGACAUACAAACAAAGGCACAGGGAAAGGAGCUAUACCUUCACAAGGAUGCCUUAGGCUACAGAGGCCUCCAAUCUAGUGACUGAGGGCACAGUGUGGAGAACCUCACCAAUCAUGAGGGUUAUGAAAUGGUCUAUGAUUCCGGAAAUGCUUUCCAGCAAUGCUGGCUAAGCUGUUCUCCUGGGUAGGACAGGCAUGAAUGGUUAUGUCCACGAGAUACACCAAGGAUGUUGACAUAAACUCAACCUGAAGACGGCGUGUGGUUCAUGAUCAAGAGCUGUACACGGGAAGCCUGCGUGACCUUGCCAGGAAAAUGGGCUGAUAGAAUUCAGUGAGCAGCAGGCACAGGCAUAAGAGCAAGGGCCUUGUGUGAGGAUAGGAAUGGGAUACAGAACUUCCAUAGGUUUCAUACAGAGAGAUAAAAGCACAAAGACUAGAAGAGCCUCUGGGCAUACCUGUAAGGGAUUAUCUAGAUUAGGUUUACUCCUGAAUUUGCUGAUAAUCCCUAGUGUGACAUAAUUCUACCAUUUUGGAACGGGAAUGUUUACUUUGGGCUAUUGCACAUUAGAGGUAUGUAACUUAGUUUUUUUUGUUGUUGUUGUUUUAAAUUUUCUAAGGAUUUCUUACAUAAGUUACUAUAACAUUUCCACCUUUCUCUUUCCCCAUUUAACUCCUCUGAAGUCUCUUCUCACUCCUCUAACACUCAUGAUUUCUUUUCCCUUAUUAUUUUUACUUGUGUAUGAAUAUAUGUGUGUGUGUCACCUAAAUCCAUUUAGUGUUGCUUGUAUGUAUAUGAGACUGACUUCUUGGGUUCAGGUAACCUUUUAUGGGGAAUCAUCUCUGGCAAAACUGGUUCUUUCUCUCUCAGCAGCCAUGGGGUUGCCUGUAGCUCUUCAUCUAGGGAUGGAGCCUUAUAAAAUUUCCUCCAUCCAUGUUGACAUGUCAACUGGUGUUCUCAUUAUGCAGGUCUUGCUCAGGCAACUGUGUCAUUGAGGUUUCACUUGUACAGCUACAUACCAUGUCUAGAAAACACCAUCUCAAAGCAAAAAAAAAAAAAAAUCAGGAAAACAACCCAAUUAAAAAUGGGCUAGGGAGUUGAACAGAGAAUUCUCAAAAGAAGAAAUAAAAAUGGCUAAGAAAUAGCUUGAGAAGUGCUCAGCAUCCUUAACAAUUAGGGAAGUACAAACUAAAGCAACUUUGAGAUAUUUUCUUACCCCAGCUCAGAGUGACUACAACUAACAAAAGAGCCAACAAUAAAUAUGAGUUAGGAUGUGGGGAAAGAGGACCUCAUUCACUUUAGUGGAGCUGCAAACUGGUGUAGCCACUCAGGAAAUUAGUGUGGAGAAUUUUCAAAAAGCUAAAAAAGUAGAUCUACCAUGUGAUCCAGCUGUAUUAUUCUUUGACAUUUCCAAAGGACUCAAUAUCCUACUUUAUCAAUUCUUGCUCAACUCUGUGCAUUGUUAUUCUGUUCUCUAUAGGUAGUAUAAAUGCUUUUCUUGAUUGUCAACUUGAUUACAUUUGGAAUUAACUAAAACCCAAGUGGCUGGGUACACGUGUGAGGAAUUUUUUCUUAAUUAAGUCAUUUGAAGUGGGAAGACCCACUUGAAAUGGAAAUCUUUUGAGGUGGGAAGACACACCUUUAAUCUUGACCACACCUGUGGCAGCCUAUAUGAAGGACAUGGAAGAAGGAAGCUUUUGCUCUUUGCCUGCUUGUUCUCAUUGUCCUUGGCAUGUCUGUUCCUUCAUUGGCUUUAGAGGCUACUUCUUUGGGAUUCUGGUCUAUACUAAAAACCAGCUGAGACACCCAGCCUAAUGGACUGAAUAACUACUGGAAUUUCGAACCUUCUGUUGGUAGGCAACCAUUGUUGGACUAGCUGGAUCACGGCCUGUAAGUCAUUCUAAUAAAUUCCCUGUAUGUAUAUAUAAUAUAAUACAAUACAUAAUGUAAUACAUAUUCUAUAAGUCUGUUUCUCUAGAGAACCAUGACUAAUACAGGUAGCAUAUAGAAACAACCUACAUGCCCUUUAACUGAUGAAUGGUAAUGAAAAUGUGGUAUGCAUACACAAUGCAAUUCUUUUCAGCGGUAAAGAAAAAAAUAUGAACUCUCUAGGUAAAUGUAUGGAACUGGAAACAUUUUACUGAGUAAGUUAACCCAGACCCAGAAAGACAAAACACCAUAUGUUGUCUUACUUGUCCUGGUUCCAAAUUUUUAGAUAUGAGUAUACCACCUGAAGCUAUGGCAGAAGCCAAGAAUGUAACUUGGUUUGUGGUGUGAGAAGAGCUCACAGUUAAGAAUUUCAGAUGAAACUUUGGGCCUUGUACUUUAGACAAGGCUGAAAUUAUUAUUAAACACAAUGGAGAAAGGGAUAGGAGGUUAUGGCUUAAAAAUGAUGAGUCUGGGUGUCGAGUCAGCAAAAAAGUGGAUUUGUGAUGGCGAUUUGAGGCAGGCCCUUGAAUCACUGAGGGUGCAAGCCUGUGAGGACUUACCUUGAUGAGGUUAAUGGAGGUGGGAGGACCCACCUUGAAGGCGGGCAGCAGCAUUCCCUGGGCAUAAACUCUGGACUACAGAAAGACAGAGGCUAGCCAACCAUCACCAACCACUGCCCUCUUCUUUAUGACUGUUGCAAGGUGACCAGCUGCCUCCAUGGUCCUGUUUCCAGGACUCUCUUGCCAGGGUAGACUGUAACUACAGCAAAUUGUGAAUCAAAGCAAACCUUCCUUCUUGAAAUUGCUUUUGUUAGGACAUUUUAUCAGAGAAACAAGAAAAGUAACUAAGACAACCAGCCAAUGGCAGUCCGACCAACGGCAAUAACACACACUGAUAGUUGGAAAACACCUGAGCCAUCAACUAGUAAGAAGUGUGUUAAGGACUUUACAAGCACAUUUUUCAGAUAACACACUGUUAGUGAUCAUUACUAAAUUCUGUUGCGGUUAGGUUAUUCUAUAAGAAUUUACUGAGACCUAUUUCUCAGUUUAUUGAAAAUUGUUUUAUGUCUCAGCAUGUGGGAUAUCUUGGUCAAUAUAUUUCAUAUACUUUUAAUGUGUACUGUGUACUGUAGGGUGAUGUGUUGUACAAACAUGGUCAAGUUUAUUUUCACACUUGUUCAGUUUCCUUUCUAUGUUCCCAUCUCAUUUAUCUUUUACUUAAGCAAAUGGGGUUAGAGUCUCUAUUUUUGCAAAACUGUUUAAUUCUCCCUUGAACCCUAUCUGUUUUGAUCCAUGUUUUGAGGUUUUAAAUCAUCUAGAUGAACAUGUCAUUUCACCACUUGGAAGUGCUCUCUUCUAUUCCUUUUAUUUAUUGUCUGGAAUCAGCCUCUCUUCACAAGCAUGCAUGUGCACUGAAUAUGAAUGGCAUAGAUUCCAUUUUUAUUUUUUACUUAGCAUUUUCUUUGUGUAUAAAGUUCAAUUAUCUUUGUUUUGAAAUAUAUAAUUGUGUUUAAAAUCUGAGAAUCUCUUAUUGCAGUAUUUAUUAUAUUUAUAUUUUCAUACGAUUAUACAAUUAUUGAUGUCUUUACAUUUGCAUCUAUUAUAUAAUUUUUGUUUUAUGUGUCUGAUUUUUAAUUAAUUAAUUACAUUUGUCUGUUGAUGUAUAUGCUAUAUUGUGUGUGAAAGUGAGAAUAAAAAUUUUGGGACUCGAUUCUUUCUUUCUACCUUGUGGGUCCCAGGGAUUGAUCGCAGGUCUUCAGACUUGGUGACAAGUGCCUUUACCCAGUGGAUCAUCUUGCUGGCCCACCAAUUUGAUUUUUAAUAUAAUCAUUUUUAUUUGUUUUCUUCUAGCUUAUUGUAUAUUUCAAGUUUUGCAUUUGAUUCUCCUCCACUGGGUUUUGAGAUCUAUCGGGCUCUGAUUACUGUUAUAACUACUCCGCAGACUGCACUGUGGAUACUUAGUGUGUCACUGUAUAAUUACAACCAUUGUUGUAAUGCUUUGUACAAUACAUAGCAAUCUUAUACUAAUGCAACCCCUUGACUCCCGCCCUGCAUGGCUAGCAAUCAAUCACACUCCCAGAUUCUCAGUUCAAGAAUCGACUACUUCCUGCUUUGGGAGAUCAGAACUGUCCUAGGCUGUGUUCACAUAGUAUGUCAGGUUGAUCAAAGUGUAGCACGUUAGAUGAAGACUAACUUAGGCCAGCCUAAGGUCUGGCUGCCUCCAGACGGAAGAUAGAUGAAGAAUUACAUGACCAUCAUCUUCUGUGGGUGAAGUUUGGCCAUCUUCUACCUUGAGGACCAUACUUCAAGACCCACUGACAUUCUGUGAUAGUCCAGGUGAGAGGGAGUGAUAUGGACCAAGCCAGCACUGCCAUCUUAGCUGCUUGUUUUGUGAUAAAACUUUUCCUAGGGAGAUGUUACACACAUGUCUACUCACCCUAGAUAGAGAACUCAUGAUAGACCAAAGUACAGCUAGAUACCACCAAAGUCCAAUUUGGCGAACCAAUGAGUUUUAUUAGAAUUAGUUACAGGAGUCUGAGUGAAGGGUUACUUACAGGAGCAAGCAGAAAUGACUCAAAGACAGAUGCAUCACUGAAGCCCACCCCAGCACGGGUGACAGCUCCCCAAACUGGGAACCUGGAGCACGCUGCACACUGCAGGUAGCUCAGCAGGUUGGAGAGUGUCCUUUCCAGGUGACUCAGUUGGUCUGAACCUCUUCCAGGCAGCUUGUCUGGUCUUAUCUUGUGUGCAGCCUUGCUGGUCUGAAUCUUCUUUGCAGCUCUGCUCAGCUAGUCUGAGAAGGACUCUCUGCUUUUAUAGCUUACUCUGGCAGGAAGGGACCUAGUGAAUCUGGUCAGUUUCAAGAACGUCCUGAAGCUGUUUGGAGUUGUUUCCCUUCUUGCUUAAGGAGAUUCUCUGAAGCAUGGAUGAUUUUUAUCUCAGAGGAAACUGUUACACAGAUCAUCUAGAAACAGGUAGCUGGUAACAAAAGACCACUAUUAUUCACAGCUGUGGGGCACAAACAUUGAGUUUAUGACAUUCUGCCACAGCGGCAAUGUGAAAAUUGGAAAGCUCGCUGAUGGGAAUUUUAUGGUUCAAGCUGAUGUGUUGAGUAUCAUAGAUGAUGAGACAUUUGAAGACAGAAACACCAUGUUGUCUUUGCUGACACAGUGCUGGUGAUCUUUGCCAACUCAGGUUUACUCAGAAUGAAGGAAGGAACCUGUGUCACCGUGACAUACGAUUUACAUGUGUAUCAGGCUCUGGACAUUCCUUCUCUCCUUCUAGUCCUAUGAUGACCUUCACCCUAAGGUCAUUGAGAAAACAAAACUUUUGCCCUCCUCUGCUCUGGGCUUCCUGUAGCUACUCAUCAUCUCUGUAUCACCUUAAUAUUUGUACUUGUUCAUUGUUUUAAAGAUUGUGUAAUGACUUUAGAAUAAAAAUUUUAUGCAAAUGAUUAUAUACAAACUAAAUGUGAUUUCAUAGGAUUUAUAGGAGUAUGUAACUAUUUUUAUUAUAUGUUAAAUAUAUGAUU